rnacentral:rRNA from 1 species
UACGUAGGUGACAAAUGUUAUCCGGAAUUACUGGGCGUAAAGGGUCUGUAGGCGGAUGUUUAGGUCUGAUGUGACACCUCCCGGCUUAACUGGGAGUAUGCAUUGGAAACCGGACAACUAGAAUCACGUCGAGGUCGGUGGAAUUCCCGGUGUAGUGGUGGAAUGCGUAGAGAUCGGGAGGAACCUCGAAAGCGAAGGCAGCCGGCUAGACGAUGAUUGACGCUGAGGGACGAUAGCGUGGGGAGCAAACAGG